AUUGAACGCUGGCGGCAGGCCUAACACAUGCAAGUCGAGCGGAUGAGAGGAGCUUGCUCCUUGAUUUAGCGGCGGACGGGUGAGUAAUGCCUAGGAAUCUGCCUGGUAGUGGGGGAUAACGUCCGGAAACGGGCGCUAAUACCGCAUACGUCCUACGGGAGAAAGCAGGGGACCUUCGGGCCUUGCGCUAUCAGAUGAGCCUAGGUCGGAUUAGCUAGUUGGUGAGGUAAUGGCUCACCAAGGCGACGAUCCGUAACUGGUCUGAGAGGAUGAUCAGUCACACUGGAACGGGGACACGGUCCAGACUCCUACGGGAGGCAGCAGUGGGGAAUAUUGGACAAUGGGCGAAAGCCUGAUCCAGCCAUGCCGCGUGUGUGAAGAAGGUCUUCGGAUUGUAAAGCACUUUAAGUUGGGAGGAAGGGCAGUAAGUUAAUACCUUGCUGUUUUGACGUUACCGACAGAAUAAGCACCGGCUAACUUCGUGCCAGCCGCCGCCGUAA
rnacentral:rRNA from 1 species